rnacentral:rRNA from 1 species
AUACGGAGGGUGCAAGCGUUACUCGGAAUCACUGGGCGUAAAGCGCGCGCAGGCGGGCUGAUAAGUUGGAUGUGAAAGCCUACGACUCAACCGUAGAACUGCAUCCAAAACUGUCAAGCUAGAGUCUGGGAGGGGAAGAUGGAAUUAGUUGUGUAGGGGUAAAAUCCGUAGAGAUAACUAGGAAUACCAAAAGCGAAGGCGAUCUUCUGGAACAGUACUGACGCUGAGGCGCGAAAGCGUGGGGAGCAAACAGGAUUAGAAACCCCAGUAGUCC